CUUAUAUACUCAUUCUAACAAUUAUCUUAUAUGCUCAACCAAAACCCUAGCCUCCAUUCCCCUUCUAGCCAUUCAGACGCAACAAACCCUAGCCUCCCUUCCCAUUCUACUCGCAGCCAUUCAGUUCUUUAGGUUGGUGACCGUGAUGGAGUCUUUAAGGUUUUGUCUACUUCUUGGUGGUGAUGAUUUUGACAAGAGGAUUGUGGAUUGGCUUGCUGCAAGCUUCAAGAAAGAUGAGGGAAUUGACCUACUAAUAGACAAGCAAGCUCUGCGACGAUUGACCGAAACUGCUGAAAAGGUGAAGAUGGAACUUUCAACUCCGACUCAGGAAAAUAUUAGGCUGUAUUAAGCCGACUGGGUAAAUAUGCUGAAAUAUUUGAUGAAGAAGAGCUUUGGUGUCAUUAGAAACUUCAAGAUCUUUAUAAAUCUAUCAGGGAAAGUAAGGUAUGCAUGAUAUUCCUUUUUUAAUUGAAGUUUUUAGAUUGCAUAGUUCUUUUUCUUCCGGUGUAACACUCAAGAACCAAUGUAUUUCUGAACUCUUUCGUUUCUUUACAUGCCAGCAUUUCCAAAAGUAUAUUGUUUGUGGUGUUGAAGGGUUUAUUUCAAUAGGGAAAAAGCAAAAUCAAAUAGAAAAAAGGUUUGCUG